rnacentral:rRNA from 1 species
AUUGAACGCUGGCGGCAGGCCUAACACAUGCAAGUCGAACGGUAACAGGAAGACGCUUGCUUCUUUGCUGACGAGUGGCGGACGGGUGAGUAAUGUCUGGGAAACUGCCUGAUGGGGGGGGAUAACUACUGGAAACGGUAGCUAAUACCGCAUAACGUCGCAAGACCAAAGAGGGGGACCUUCGGGCCUCUUGCCAUCGGAUGUGCCCAGAUGGGGUUAGCUAGUAGGUGGGGUAACGGCUCACCUAGGCGACGAUCCCUAGCUGGUCUGAGAGGAUGACCAGCCACACUGGAACUGAGACACGGUCCAGACUCCUACGGGAGGCAGCAGUGGGGAAUAUUGCACAAAGGGCGCAAGCCUGAUGCAGCCAUGCCGCGUGUAUGAAGAAGGCCUUCGGGUUGUAAAGUACUUUCAGCGGGGAGGAAGGGAGUAAAGUUAAUACCUUUGCUCAUUGACGUUACCCGCAGAAGAAGCACCGGCUAACUCCGUG